AGCGAACGCUGGCGGCAGGCCUAACACAUGCAAGUCGAACGAACUCUUCGGAGUUAGUGGCGGACGGGUGAGUAACACGUGGGAACGUGCCUUUAGGUUCGGAAUAACUCAGGGAAACUUGUGCUAAUACCGAAUGUGCCCUUCGGGGAAAGAUUAUCGCCUUUAGAGCGGCCCGCGUCUGAUUAGCUAGUUGGUGAGGUAAAGGCUCACCAAGGCGACGAUCAGUAGCUGGUCUGAGAGGAUGAUCAGCCACAUUGGGACUGAGACACGGCCCAAACUCCUACGGGAGGCAGCAGUGGGGAAUCUUGCGCAAUGGGCGAAAGCCUGACGCAGCCAUGCCGCGUGAAUGAUGAAGGUCUUAGGAUUGUAAAAUUCUUUCACCGGGGACGAUAAUGACGGUACCCGGAGAAGAAGCCCCGGCUAACUUCGUGCCAGCAGCCGC
rnacentral:rRNA from 1 species